GCAGAUAUGGCCGAGUGGUUAAGGCGACUGACUCGAAAUCAGUUUCCAUCUUGGAGUGUAGGUUCGAAUCCUACUAUCUGCG
rfam:Daphnia pulex DAPPTscaffold_103_Cont4530, whole genome shotgun sequence.